AACGAACGCUGGCGGCGCGCCUAAUACAUGCAAGUCGAGCGAGAAGACGUAGCAAUACGUUUGUAAAGCGGCGAACGGGUGAGGAAUACAUGGGUAACCUACCCUCGAGUGGGGAAUAACUAGCCGAAAGGUUAGCUAAUACCGCGUACGCUCCUUGGACUUCGGUUCAGGGAGGAAAGCGAUACCGUGGGUAUCGCGCUCUUGGAUGGGCUCAUGUCCUAUCAGCUUGUUGGUGAGGUAACGGCUCACCAAGGCUUCGACGGGUAGCUGGCCUGAGAGGACGAUCAGCCACACUGGCACUGCGACACGGGCCAGACUCCUACGGGAGGCAGCAGUAAGGAAUAUUGCGCAAUGGGCGAAAGCCUGACGCAGCGACGCCGCGUGGGGGAUGAAGGUCUUCGGAUUGUAAACCCCUUUCGGGAGGGAAGAUGGAACGAGCAAUCGUUCGGACGGUACCUCCA
rnacentral:rRNA from 1 species